GAGGGCGAUCUGGCUGCCAUAUGUCACUCCAUUGACCGCCAGGCUGAUCUGGCUGGUUAGGCGGGUGCCCCCUUCCUCCCUC
rnacentral:snRNA from 1 species